rnacentral:lncRNA from 1 species
CGGAAACUAGUUUUUGCAUUAGACUCUCCAUGGGCUCCAUAGACUCUCCUGUACCUUACGACUAGGCACAGGAGCGUUUCCCCGGUGAAAUGGAGAAGAGGACACUUGGUCUUUUCAACUUUACUAGGAGGGCUCCUUUCUUCCCAGUCCAAACAUAUGAAGCUCAUUUCUGCCACCCUUCCUAGAAAACUGGUUCCUGACAGAGACAUGUGGAAAGGUAAGUAAGUCCCUGGGAAGGCAUAUGGUUUAAGCCAACUCCCUGCCACACUCAAUGUGUAGUUUUCAUGUUUUAAACUAUCAAUGCUCAAUCAUUACUGUUGUGCUGGCAGUCCUUUCUUUUGUGUAUGUGAGUUUCUCCCUAUUAAAUAAACCCUCUCUUUUGGAAGAAUUCUCAUGGCAAUGACUAUAAUUACAACCCAAAGCUGAGCUGUAAAAUGCAGUGAUAUGACAGCUUUUGUGAUAGAAAGGGUGGAGAAACAAUGAAAGCUUAUAAUUUUCUUUGAGAUGUCUCAAAGUCUGACAGCAGCCCCACCCUUAUGAUGUAAAUCUGCAGUGACCUAAAGUUUCAGGAAAGAUGAAGCUAGAGAGACAUGCCAAGUCACCGCCACAUUGACCACCAGCAAACAAGCAAGAAAAGAUUCAGCAUAAUGCUGAAUUCUCUAUGACUUCUUCAAAUAGUCUGGAAUGGUAUUUCCUGACAUUUCCGAAUAUGAGGGUUCUUUUCAGGUAAGUAAACCUGGGCCCAAGAUCACAGAGCACACAGCUGGAAUUCACAGCAAGACCUGAUUGACUUCGAAGUCAGUGGUCUUUCCCCUGCUUCCCACGAGACAGGUUACUACAUGAAGAGCUGGGACUGGAAUACAGGUUUUCUAUGUUCACCUGGGGAUAGCUUUUCCAUCAUCCCUCCUGAGUCUGUGAGGUAUCCCAGUUUUUAAGCCAGAACUUUGAAACCAGGUCUAAUUUUUCAAUAUUUUCCAGAAAGCUCACAGAAUCAUAAAAAAUAUAUUGUUAUUUUAGGCCACUUAGUUUGGGGAGUUUGUUGCAGAGUAAUAGAUAAGUGAAGCAGCAAAGUACAGAGGGGCUUUUAUCUAAGAGAGCUGAUUUAUCAUUGGAUAUCUCAGAAAACCACAACAUUUCCAAAAGAACUGUAUCAGCUUGAGCUGAAAAAGAUUGAGACAGUUCAAAAUGAAAGAAGUUUCUGGGUCCUCAAACUUCUAUGGGGAAUAAGCAGGUUAAGAAACUUUCUCAGUUGCAAGCAUGGGUCGUUCCUAAUGAAAAAGGCAGGAUGUCACGGAGGGCGGAGGCAAGAGCCUUUCUUAAGCAGGUUAUAUCUGCACCCAAGGACCCACACCCAAGGAGCAGUACCAGAGGGAACACAUCUGAAGAGCCCUAUCUGGAUUUGCCAACAUGAUUUAGAUGAUAAGAUACUGGACUUUGAGCUGGUGCCAUAAUGGGAUGAGGCUUUGGGAGUCCAAAGGGAGAUAAGUGUAAGUGUAUUUCACCGGUGAAGAAUGUAAAACAUAAAAGGCCAGAACAUGAACUCUGCAGCUAAUCUCCAAAGAUGGCUCUCAGUGAACCACACCUCAUGGAAUUCAUGUCCUUGCAUAGUCCCCUCCCGCACUGAAUCUGGGUUAACUUUGUGACUUUCUCUAACUAUCAGAAUGUGACAGAAGUAACAAUAUGAUACAUCCCUCCAUUUAGUGAGAUCAUCUUUAAUUUCUCCCAAUAAUGUUUUGUAGUUUUCUGUGUAGAGGUCUUACAAAUUUUUUAGAUUGAUUCUUUGACAUGUGACUUUUCUAUGCUGUUGAUAAAUGAUAUUUUGUUAAAAUUUUUAUUCCAGUUUUUGUUACAUAUGAUAUUGAAAAACUAGAGUGAUAGGAUUCCAAAGAACCACUGCUGUUGUCUCAAUGUCUGUGUCCUCCCAAAAUUUAUAUGUUGAAAUCCUAACCCCCAAGGUAAUUGCAUUAGGAUGUAGGGUCUUUGGAAAGUGACUGAAGGCUCUGCCUCUUGAAUGGGAUUAAUGCCCUUAUAAAAGAGACCCCUGACAUCUGCCUUUCCCCUUCCACCAUGUGAGGACACAGUGAGAAGGUGCCAUUCAUGAACCUGAAAGUGAGCCCUCACCAGACACCAAACUGGUUGAGCAUUGUCUUCCCAUUCUCUAGAACUAUAAGAAAUAAAUUUCUGUUAUUUAUAAGCCACCCAGUUUUCAGUAUGUUGUUACAGCAGCCCAAAUGGACUAAGACAGCCACUCCACUAGGCAAGCCUGAGUGUAGAGCCAUCAAAGACAGCUUGGAGAAAUAGAUUGCUGGCCUUGAGCACCCACAUAGCUCAUUUUUGCCCAGUGGGAGCUAAAAAAUAUCUCCUAAAUGCUGCUGACCUCCCUAUGGUUUGGAGAAUACAGAAGGUAUAAUCAGAGUCCCACCAGGGCCAACUCUGGCUAAGCUGGUUUCUGUGUUCUCAGAACCCUCUGUCUGCUCUGGUUUCUCACUGGGGUUUCCUGUGCUUUCCGCCCGCCAACCGAAUCACAUUGCCUUUCCGUCUAGGUGCUGCUUCCUCCUCUUCUCAUGGCUAACUCUUUCUCAUGAUUUAGGGUUCAGCUCAACUGUUACUUCUUCAUGGAGGCUGAUGCCUCCCAGUCUUCAUCUUAAAAGUGUGCAGCUUUUAUCACCGUCUAUAACUAUGUUACUUAAUCAUCUGUUUAUUAUUCACCGUGUGCUACAGAAGAUGAUCUUGAUGAGAAGAAACUGCAUGUUACCCAACAGUUUCUGGGUCAUAGGCAUGCAUCAGGUAACUGAUGAAUGAAUGAAUGAAUGAAUGAAUGAAUGAAUACAUUAAUCUCCAAGAUUCCUUCAGUUUACGAUAUUCUGCUUGACUAUCUAGUCCCUCAAAAGGCAUUACCUUUCCCCUGUAUUAUCUCAAGCACCCUAUUAUAACUUUUUGAGUUAGUAGCAUGUUCACCAAGGCUAAUCCUCUUUAGCAUGUUAGCCAGCUAUGAUGGCCACAUUUUCACAUAACAAGAUGAUUUCACCAAGUUAAAAACUUCUUUGGGAUCUAUUCGUAAAAGUAUAUAUAAGAGUUUACAUUUCUAACAAUAUAGAAAAAUGUAGAGCCUCCAUUAUAAAACAUCUAGAAAUGUUGGAAAAAAAUAUACAAAACAUACUUUUAAAAGCACUGACUUUAUAAGAUAGUACAAGAAAUGUUCAGGAGCUAAAAUUGAAACAGGUCACAAACCAGACUUAGAGUGUUCUAAAGUCUUUCUAUUCUUUGGGAGGUAGAUAGAGAUAUUUGUUAACUUUAGACUUUGAAAUUCACAUUUGCAUGAUCAAGUUGUAAGUAUCAUCACUAAUACAAAUGAACUGUAUAAUUUUCAAACCAAUAAAGUGCUCUUAAAAAGCUCUGUGUUCUAGUGCAGUUGACAAAGUAUUUCACAGCACCAGAGCCAACGUUUUUCUACCUGUUUUAUAAAAGAUCCUCCCCAUCCUCCAAGCAGACUUAGAGGUUUUCUCCUCUCUGCUCUUGGGUAUCUUGGCCAAAUCUUUAGAGCAAGUGUAAUGGCCAAUUUCUUGGGUCAAUUUCCUAUGCCUCCUCAUCAUUGUGUCCCAGUGCCUGGCAUAUACCAGGCACUCUCAUGUUUGAAGAAGGAAUGGAUAUGACUUGCUCAAGUUCACACAGCUCUCAAGUGGCAGAUAAAAAACAGGGACCCAGA